rnacentral:rRNA from 1 species
UACAGAGGGUGCAAGCGUUAAUCGGAAUUACUGGGCGUAAAGCGCGCGUAGGUGGUUUGUUAAGUUGAAUGUGAAAUCCCCGGGCUCAACCUGGGAACUGCAUCCAAAACUGGCAAGCUAGAGUAUGGUAGAGGGUAGUGGAAUUUCCUGUGUAGCGGUGAAAUGCGUAGAUAUAGGAAGGAACACCAGUGGCGAAGGCGGCCACCUGGUCAGAAACUGACGCUGAGGUACGAAAGCGUGGGGAGCAAACAGG